GGUUCCAUAGUGUACUAGUUAGCACGUCUGCUUUACACGCAGAAGGUCCUGGGUUUGCGCCCCAGGUAGAGCCA
rnacentral:tRNA from 1 species